rnacentral:rRNA from 1 species
CGCUGGCGGCGUGCCUAAUACAUGCAAGUCGAACGGUCUUUUCUAUGGAAGCUUGCUUCCACUGAGAAGAUAGUGGCGAACGGGCGAGUAACACGUGGGUAACCUGCCCAUAAGAGGGGGAUAACAUCCGGAAACGGGUGCUAAUACCGCAUAGUUUCUUGAUCGCAUGAUCGGGAAGGAAAGACGGCCUUUGUGCUGUCGCUUAUGGAUGGACCCGCGGCGUAUUAGUUAGUUGGUGAGGUAACGGCUCACCAAGACGAUGAUACGUAGCCGACCUGAGAGGGUGAUCGGCCACAUUGGGACUGAGACACGGCCCAAACUCCUACGGGAGGCAGCAGUAGGGAAUCUUCCGCAAUGGACGAAAGUCUGACGGAGCAACGCCGCGUGAGUGAAAGAAGGUUUUCGGAUCGUAAAACUCUGUUGUCAGAGAAGAACAAGUUGGAGAGUAACUGCUCCAGCCUUGACGGUAUCUGACCAGAAAGCCACGGCUAACUACGUGCCAGCCGCCGC